rnacentral:rRNA from 1 species
GAUCCUGCCAGUAGUCAUAUGCUUGUUGCGCAGACUAAGCCAUGCAUGUCUACGUAUUAAUGUCAUCCAAUGAAACUGCGAAUGGCUCAUUAAAACAGUUAGUAUUCAUGUGAUUCAGAUGCCAGCGGAUAUCCGUGGUAAUUCUACAGCUAACACGACGAUCUUCUGAUCGGCGACCUGGACGAGUGGGUGGGAAAGGCUAUAUGCCAUAGACUGAGAGCUUGCAGGUUGUCAUCGUGCCAAGCACGAGGUUUCACAGAACUUUCUGACCUAUCAGGUAUCGACGGUUGAGUAGUGGUCUACUGCACCGACAACGGGUAACGGGGAAUGAGGGUUUGAUUCCGGAGAGGGAGCUUUAGAAAUGGCUACCACAUCUAAGGAAGGCAGCAGGCGCGCAAAUUACCAAUCCUCGGCAUGGGGAGGUAGUAAACCAACGUAAUGGCGCUCGACGAAUGUCGAGUGAUCGGAAUGGAUCCGUCUUAAUACAGCGGAUGAACUCCAGCGGAGGGCAAGUC